GAAUCUGCCCUUAGGAGAAGAAUAACUGCUGGAAACGGUUGCUAAAUCUUCAUAUGUCGAGAGAUGAAAUAGCUUAAGCUGCCUAAGGAUGAGCUCACGCCUGAUUAGCUUGUUGGUGAGGUAAUGGCUCACCAAGGCCACGAUCAGUAGCUGGUUUGAGAGAACGACCAGCCACACUGGGACUGAGACACGGCCCAGACUCCUCCGGGAGGCAGCAGUGAGGAAUUUUCCGCAAUGGGCGAAAGCCUGACGGAGCAAUACCGCGUGGGGGAUGAAGGAUUUUGGUCUGUAAACCUCUUUUCUCAAGAAAGAAGUUCUGACGGUACUUGAGGAAUAAGCAUCGGCUAACUCCGUGCCAGCAGCCGCGGUAAUACGGGGGAUGCAAGCGUUAUCCGGAAUGAUUGGGCGUAAAGCGCCUGUAGGUUGUUUAUUAAGUCCGUUGUUAAAGCCUAGGGCUCAACCCUAGAAAAGCAAUGGAAACUAGUAGACUAGAGUAUGGCAGGGGUAGAGGGAAUUUCUAGUGUAGCGGUGAAAUGCGUAGAUAUUAGAAAGAACACCGGUGGCGAAAGCGCUCUACUGGACCAUUACUGACACUCAGAGGCGAAAGCUAGGGUAGCA
rnacentral:rRNA from 1 species